GUAAAUCAGGGACCGUUGCCGUUGCCACAUCGUCCACCACUUAUCAUUCCGCAACAUCAGGGAAAUGUAGGAUGGCCAAGACCCCAUCGUCCCCCGCCACCACCUAUUCAUCACCCACCUCCACCACAGUUGGGAUGGGUGAGCGUAAAACCAGGUUCUUGCCAUUUCAAAUCUCCACUCGCCUUUCUUGACAAGUUCUUUCCUGAAAAGGGGGCUGGCCUCGGUCUCGGCGUGGGUUGGGGGCACAACGGCGGUGGGAACCAUCUCUUCAAAGGAAAAGGUAACAUAGUCGGCUGGACGGGAUGGGAACCACCCUCGCAAAAUGCAGGUUUCCACUUUUACCGACGUCGCCACGACCAAAUCCUUCACCCUCAUGAUCACCAAACACAAGGCUGGGGUCGUCUCUUUGGCGGAAUUAAGACUGGUGGAUGGCAUCACGAUCAUCACCAAUCCUGCCAUUCCGAUCAUCACUGUCCAGGGUCACAAAAAUGCUGUUCUGGCUUGUGCAAACUUCCUUCGGGAGCAGGACUCUUGCUCGGCUGAAGGAAAAUGAGGCAAGUUGAGACUCUCUCAAAAUCUCAACCCGUAUAUUCAUCCCAUCAUCAUCAAAUACACAGCAAAAAGAAAAGUGAGAGUUUCCCACAUCCAUCCCAUCUCGUCUCAGAAACCAAUAAUAUUGGUCUAUCCCAAAAAAAUAUGCUAGUUUAAACUCCUCUCUCUCUCUCUUUACACAGGGAGCUCUUUUAAAACAAAAUGUAUUCAUUCCUUGGUAUUCCUCGUUAAUAAGAAUAAAGACCUCGUUAGUUUUACAUGAGCAUUUCUCAACAUGCAGUAAGCGAGGUGACAAAUGAGGGUGAGUGAGUGAGAGGACAUACAUACAGCCGCGCAGCCAGCCAGCUAUGUACUUACUUAUUUGUACCGCUUAUUAGUCUCGUUUCCAAUCGACUGGAAAAAACAUUUGGUCUGUCGGUUCUUAUUUAAAAGACAAACACAUGUUUGUUAAACAUCUCUUUUCCCUUCUGGAGAAGUGCUUUGAGGAAAAAUCAUCAACAUUUCUUGCUUUCUCACUUCCCCUAAAUAAUUUCGUGGUUGGUGUCGGUCCGACAUUUGAGACCUUGUUUGAAAUAGCUGCCUAACAAGUAACCAGUCCAAUUUGUCAGUAAUGUGCUGUGGUAGAUUUAAUAUCGGUAGAAAAUAAUAUUCCUUUCUGAGGAGAGAGACGAAGCGGCGUCACUUUUUUCUUGUCUUUUAUGGCCCAAUUAGGUAGGUAUCCUUACACUUUCUGGUCAUACAUAUUUACGAACACAAUGCUGAUUAACAGGCAUUAAAUUUCGGGUGAUUUACAUUUAUUAGAGUAAACAGCGCAGAGUUUAGGAUACACGACGAGCAGUUAUCUCUCGUGGGUAAUAAAUGUAUAAUAAUACUAAUAUUUCGCUCAUCCAUCCAUCCAGGUGAGUAAACCCGUCGGGUUUGGUUAAUCUUUACCAAUAAUGAAAUAAAAAGGGCGGCCGCUGCUUUGGCCUUAUUUUCAUCUUCCUUCUCAAAGUACAAACAAAUAUUAAAUGUUGUAUGUAUAAAUAUCAUCACAAUCCCUUCACUAAAUAUUUUCCGACGUCGAGUAAAGUAAAACUUAUUGAAUCAUUUCACCAUUCUGCACACACAGUAAAUGUGAGAUGAAUCCAAAAUCACAACAACAUUGUACAGAUACACAUACACACAUUAUGAAAACAUGAAAGUAUGGUGUACCCCUAUUAUUAUUAUGCUAUUAUUACUAUUAUCCAUCCUGACUGGAUAUCUAGCUGGCCGCCGACCCAGGAGAAGAACACAAUAAAUCCAAACAAAUCAGCAUCACGAGAAAUCAUCAAAGGGCUCCAUUUCACAUUUCACUAGACUAAACUGUACUUACGCAGAAUGAUUAUCUUACCUGAACGACGGAAGGGAUAGACCGACCGACAUGAAUGAUGUUCAUCCGACCAUACGGUCGGAUGAACCCCACAAAUCAACAACCCAUCCAAAAAGUGACACAUAUUAUUAUUACCAUUUCAAAUAAAUGUCAAAUCGGACAAAGGCCCGGUCCGAUAUGCAUAAUGGGAUGCAUAAAUAAAUAAAUGUAAGGCCUAUGUACACAUAUUAUUUACUUUUCAAAACUUACUACUGGGUGUCUUCUUUGUGCUAAUAAUAAUAUAAUAAUUCUAAUAAUGUGGUGACCUCGGGUCAAGCCAGAGCAGAUAUGAAAAUCAUCAUCAUCAUGAUCCCUAUUAUGAUUUCGUAUCUUAUCAUCGGAGCAGUUGGUGUACAUAUUGCCGUCGUGUUGGUGUUGGUUAAGCCCCAAAAAAACGUUAGUUAUCCAUCCGAAGAGAACAAGAUCAAAGGGGAGUGAGAGAUAAAGGAAAGAAGGCAGAGAUACAUACACUGUGCUGCACUUUGUAUGUAUCUGAGGGUGAGGAAUUCCAAUAAUAAAAGUAGCCAAGUUUACAUAA